rnacentral:rRNA from 1 species
UACGUAGGGGGCUAGCGUUGUCCGGAAUCAUUGGGCGUAAAGAGCGCGUAGGCGGCCCGGUAAGUCUGCUGUAAAAGUCAAAGGCUUAACCUUUGAAAGUCAGUGGAUACUGCCGGGCUAGAGUCCGGAAGAGGCGAGUGGAACUCCUGGUGUAGCGGUGGAAUGCGCAGAUAUCAGGAAGAACACCAGCGGCGAAGGCAGCUCGCUGGGACGGAACUGACGCUGAGGCGCGAAAGCGUGGGGAGCAAACAGG